UACGGAGGGGGCGAGCGUUAUUCGGAAUUACUGGGCGUAAAGGGCUCGUAGGCGGCCAACUAAGUCAGACGUGAAAUCCCUCGGCUUAACCGGGGAACUGCGUCUGAUACUGGUUGGCUUGAAUCCGGGAGAGGGAUGUGGAAUUCCAGGUGUAGCGGUGAAAUGCGUAGAUAUCUGGAGGAACACCGGUGGCGAAGGCGGCAUCCUGGACCGGUAUUGACGCUGAGGAGCGAAAGCCAGGGGAGCAAACGGG
rnacentral:rRNA from 1 species